UGUAUGUAUGUAUGUAUGUGACUAAUCAUUAGGCGGAAAACUGAUAAAACACAAAGUGCGAGAUACAGGCGCGGCACGCUUAAUGAGGACGCACAGAAUAUGCGACAAUAGUUUAGGUUCCAUUACCGAAGGAGGCCGGAAUUACUGUAGCAGUGUAGUACCUUUAUUUAGGGUAGUCGAAGAUCGCGUAUAACUCUAAUAAUAUUAAAUUUUUUUUAAUUUCACUGUGUGUUCUUAAAAGAUGUAUAAAUAUAGCGAAGCCAUCCACAAGCGGACAUUGGCGGAAGCCAAUGUUCACUUAAUAUUCGUUAGUCGAAAAAGCCUUUUCGUAUUUCAUUCAUCAGUGUAAAUCGAAAUUUCCCGAACGGAAGCGAGCGACUCAUUGUUGUGCUAUACAAACUGAUACAGCCUCGUCCCCGUAAACUUUACGGAUUUCAUUGAUGUCUAGAGUGGCAUUAUUCUCUUUUUAUACAAAAAUUUCAAAAUAUAGCGAAUUUCUUCAUAUUUUCAUUAAUUUUUGAACAGCUGUAACUUUUUUAACUUCCCAGAAUUUAAUUUUUUUCUGGUUAAAUGAAGCCUGAAAUCUCACCUUUCCAAUAUUCUAUGGUAUGACACAAUGGUAUUGGUAGCACUGGAGAUGUACGACUGCAACAACAUCUAUUGACAAAAUACGAAAAUACUUUUUCGACUACCCAAUAUAAUUGCUUUAUGAUUACAGUGUUUU